rnacentral:tRNA from 1 species
GGCCGUCGUCACCGUGGGCAUCGGCCUGUUCAUCGCGGGCCAGGGCCGCCGCUCGGCGACCCGGAUCGUGGCCGGCGGCGGCUUC